UACAGAGGUGGCAAGCGUUGUUCGGAAUUACUGGGCGUAAAGGGCGCGUAGGCGGCCAUCUAAGUCAGACGUGAAAUCCCCGGGCUCAACCCGGGAACUGCGUCCGAUACUGGAAGGCUUGAAUCCGGGAGAGGGAUGUGGAAUUCCAGGUGUAGCGGUGAAAUGCGUAGAUAUUGGGAAGAACACCGGUAGCGAAGGCGGCGCUCUGGACCGAGACUGACGCUGAGGCGCGAAAGCGUGGGGAGCAAACAGG
rnacentral:rRNA from 1 species